UGAAUUUUCAUUUUGGCCAGUAUAUGCCAAUAGACAGCUUUUAAAACAAAAGCUUUCAUAUAUUUCAGGAUAAAGAAUGGCCAGUGCCUGAAUUUCCAAAUGAUGUGAAGAGCAGGACUUCUGAACAGCCUGAUGUCACCUACCCCUGCCACAAUGGGGAGUCCCACUUCAGAGUAGAGACACGUAUUAGCUCCACAACCUUGAAGUCCUGAGUCCUGAUUUUUGAAUGCUCAGAUUUGACAAUGCUGGAGUAAUCUGAAGUGGAACACCAUUCCCAGGAGGGAAGAACUGACCCAGACACCCCAGUUCUGCCA
rnacentral:lncRNA from 1 species